CAGUCGCCGCGGUAAUACGAAGGGUGCAAGCGUUACUCGGAAUUACUGGGCGUAAAGCGUGCGUAGGUGGUGGUUUAAGUCCGUUGUGAAAGCCCUGGGCUCAACCUGGGAAUUGCAGUGGAUACUGGGUCACUAGAGUGUGGUAGAGGAUAGUGGAAUUUCCGGUGUAGCAGUGAAAUGCGUAGAGAUCGGAAGGAACAUCUGUAGCGAAGGCGACUAUCUGGGCCAACACUGACACUGAGGCACGAAAGCGUGGGGAGCAAACAGGAUUAGAUACCCCGUCGUCCCUGUCUCUUAUACC
rnacentral:rRNA from 1 species